rnacentral:lncRNA from 1 species
GCUAUAAAUAGCAUGCGAGCCAUUCCGAGUUUUUCACUCCAAGUCCACUUCUUUCUCUCACUAGUUUCUCUCUCUAGCUCAUCUAAACCCCCCAAAACACUAGAAAACCCCCUUAGCACCCUAGGGAAGCCCCGAGGCUCCCGGAGUCCCGAGAAAAAGGAGUUUUUCGGUUUCGAAACGCUGCUCCAAUUAAGUUCUGGUUUUCAAUAAUAUUCACUAUAAGUAUGCUACGCUUACGCAAUUUUUAAUAUAACUUUCAAAUAAUUAUAGGAAUGUUAUUAGGUCCUUAAAAUAAUUAAUUGGGCUAUUAUUAUGAGUUAUAUUGAGCGUUAUUAACGCUUAAUAAUAGUUAGACUAAUUAAUUUGUCGCGGUUAUCGUUAGACUAAAACCUAGUGGUAUUGGUACUAGGUUUUAUCGAAGGAAUAUCGUUUUGAGAGUAUCGAAGCGUUGUCCGAGUACUGAGUCACCACCUACUCAGGUGAGUGCAUAGUCCCUUUCAUCUUACACAUAGAUAUGAAGUAUUUUAUAUAAACUACGUGCUAUGUGUGCAUAUUAUCUGAAUACUUGUUGUCUAUGCUGGAUGAACAUUUUAUACAUGUUUUAAAGGAUUUAAACUGUAUAACGUAUUUUAUAUAUACGAAUAUGUUGGGUAUGAUGAUGGGUAGAUGAAUGAUGAGAGAUAGAAGAUGACGUGAGUAUACAUUGGCAGCUAUAGACUUAGUGUCUAUGGGAGAAACACCGGUAGCUAUGGACUUAGUACCUAUUAGACGUUGGUAGCUAUGGAUUUAGUACCUGUUGGGAAUUGGUAACUAUGGACUUAGUACCUAUUAGUUAGACGAUGGUAGCUAAGGAUUUAGUACCUGUAGGAAUUGGUAGCUAUGGACUUAGUACCUGUUGAACAUUGGUAGCUAUGGACUUAGUACCUAUUAGAUAAAGACUGGUAGCUAUGGAUUUAGUACCCGAUGAAUAGACUAUAGCAGCUAUGGAAUUAGUGCUUUAUGAACGAACAUUGGCAGCUAUGGAUUUAGUGCCAGUCCUAUAACCCUGGAAGUAAGGGACUUCGGAAUAAACGAAUGCAGGAUAGACGACUCUUAGGUUAAAUCCUUAAGAGUAAAGAAGAUAACGGGGAUGGGUAAUGGGGUUAAUUGUUUGAUGAUUAAACAUAACAAUUAUAUUAUUGUGGGUUGAAAACCCUAUGUACUCACCAGGUUUCCCAACCUGACCCACUCAGUUUAUGUAUAUCACAGGUGACGAAGUGAAGUGACAUUACACUGAGAGAUUUAAAAGAGAUGUAGAUCACUAGUGUAAAUCAUUGUAAUUCUGUUUAUGCUUAUGUUUCGGUAUUAACGAUGACAUCCCAAACAUUUUAAAAUGAAAUAAAUACGUUUCUUCGAAAAUGUUUUAAUAACGUAUUUACCAUGUUUUUCUGGGAACAAAUUCCGCAACCUUUUUAUAAAAUGAAGUACUCUGAUUUUUAUAAAGCAUAAACAAAAUCGGUCUUUUCUGGCCGUGAUUUUGGGGAUGUCACAGUUGGUAUCAGAGCAUUAGUUUAAGCGAACUAGGAAUAUGGAUUUAUUUCUAGACUUAAACUUAGAAUGCUAAGCGAUGAUUGUGAGGUGUGAGCACUAGCUUAUUUUAGGAAUUGUGCCUAAAAUGCUUUUAUGUGCUAAAUGCUUUGUGCAUGAUAUGUUGUUAAUUGUUCGGAUCUAUGGUCUGUUGCCGACCGGAUCUGGAAACCUUAUGUGUUUAGGAUUCUAAACGUACGACUACGGUAUUAGAACUAGCAUGUAAAUGUUUCGGAGUGAUAAGGAUGAUUUAAACGUCAAGUAAAGGUCUAAAUUCACCUUAUUCGGUGUAUAGAUCGAGAUGGUAAGGACCCGUAGCGGAAACGUAAACGCAAAUGGGAACAGGAACCAACCCCCAGUGGUUCAGCAAAUACCUGUUGUAGAAGAAGUUGCGCCUGAGCCAGUCACCAUGGCUGGAGUUCAAGCCAUGAUUCGGGCUAUGUUGGCUGAACAAAGGGAAGAAAUGAGACGGAUGUUGAAUAGGGACGAACCUACUAUGCCCAUUGAGCAACCCGAACUGAUUCCCGAGCAAUCUGAGGAAGGGAACUACAGCCGCCAAGUGAGUCAAGUUGGGACUCAAGGUGAGCAAAGGGAUGGCCCAGAAGGGAGAAACAACAAGGAUGGGCGGAUGUACAAGAACUUCUUGGGUGCGAAACCACCAAGCCUCUCAGGAAGCCCAAAGCCGGUUGAGGUUAUGGAUUGGAUCUCUGAGAUGGAGAUGGUGUUUGAGAGCUGCAGCUGUAAUGAGAAACAGAAGACUGUCUUUGCAGUAAGACAGCUGAAAACUGGAGUCUUGAGCUGGUGGAAGCUAUUGGCAGAUACGAUGCCACGAGGAGAAGCCUUAAGGAUGUCGUGGGAAGAGUUUUUGGAACAGUUGAAAAUGCAGUACUGCUCGGAGGUAGAUCUGAUAGACCUAAACAACGAGUUUCAGAACCUGAAGAAAGGGAAGAUGAGUGUUGAUGAGUAUGCCACCGCAUUUACCGAGAGGAUGAAGCUAUUUCCCUACUUGGUGCCUACUGAACUCUCCAAGAUUGAUAGGUUUGCUAACGGACUGCCCACUGACUUUGGUCCAAUGGUCAAAAUGGCAACUACCUUAAAAGCAGCUAUUAGGGCAGCUAAGAACGUAGAGGCCCAGAUAAGAGAAAAGGGUCUAGAAAAAGAUAAGGCAGGAGAGAAGCGAAAGUUUGAGGGAUCUUCGAGGUCGAACAAGGAAAGCAAAUUCUCAAAACUCGGAGGAGCAGAUGGAGGUGAAACAAGAUGGUGUGAUAAAUGCAAGAAGAAGCAUGGUGGGAAGUGCAACGAAGAAGUGACUUGUUACAAGUGUGGGAGGACGGGUCACUAUUCCAAAGACUGCACACAUAAUGACAAAGUAUGCUACGGAUGUGGAGGCAAGGGGCACAUGUCCAGAGACUGCCCAAGGAAAAAUAAAGCAGCAAGACCAGAAACGCCACCAAGGCCAAGGGCAUUUCACAUGAUCCUUGACGAAGCAGAGAACCAUGCGAGGAAUCAAGAAUGAGGACUUCUUACCCGAAGAUCGGAUUAUGCAGUAGCCAUAGUUUCGUAUGAUGUAGCCUAGUAGAGGCAUAGUCUAGGGUGAACUUGAACACCUAUGUAAUCGUUUCAAGAAUUAAUAUAAAACCUUCGUUUUGUUAUCUGAUGUGUUGAAUGAUUGUGUGAUUUGCUGCAUGGUGACUUGGGAAACUGCGAGACAAUACUUGGGACGAGUAUGAGUAGGUGUGAAUGGUAGUAGAGGCCUAUACUACCGGAAGCACAGGACUCACACUUGGAUCAGGGAAAGUCACAAGGUUACCAAGAAGCUAGUAAUUGAUUUCGUUUUAUUCAAGUGUGUUGUUACCAUCGUUUCGGUAAUGACUAAGAAGAUUGUUGAUAUUCCGACCCUAGUGGUCAUAUCGAAUCGAGUCCGACUACGAUGAGUAUGUUGUGUGGUUCAGAGAACCAAGUUUGAUGUAGCGUCCGACUUAAACCAAACGGUUGAAAUCAAAGCGAUCAAUAGAAGUAUCGCACUCGUUGUUAAAGAAGUUGGUGGCUAGAAAUGCCUAAUGUUAAAGUGUGAUUAUAUCACAUUAGAACAUGAAGGAAGGCAUAGCCUGUUUUAGAAUUUAACUCUAAGAGACCUAAGUCUAAGUGUUGCAACAUACGAUGAUAGGUCAUUAGAAUAUGACACAUCGAUCCAUAGUAGUAAUAAAAGAAAUCAUCUCAAGUUCGUAUCCAGUAAGGAUUGAGAUUGUGACUUGAAGGUCAUAAUUGGGAGUCUAGCCUGAGGUAGAGAGCAGGUGCACGAUCGAAUACUCUUAUAGUCAAUGAGAUUAAGAGAUAGACUUGAAGGAAUGUAGAAGUUAUAAUUAUUACCUAGGAAGAAGAGAUGACGUAUGGAGUCAUUAUACGAACCUGUUUCGUUGAUGAUUCUGGGACGUAAUCAUCCUAAGGGGGAGAUAAUUGUAACGCCCGCAAAUCUGGGCUAGUCAAAUUAGAGGCAAUAGGGGUCGAAAACGACUUUCGACAAAAGAUUAAUUAGAAUAAAUAAUCUUAACCAAGUUGUAGAGUAUGUUAGAAGGUUUCCGUACAUAUAAAGAACGCCGAAAUCCGAGUUAUAACAAAGAAGUUAUGACCCGUCGAAGUUUCGCGACAAAACCGGCACGAUACCGGAAAGCGGAAAUAGUGAAUUUACGAUAGAGCGAGAUUUAGCCUUAGCAAUCUAAAUGAAAGUCGUAUAAUAUGUUAAACUAAGAACAUCAAUAAAAAGAACGCCCAAAUCUGACUUCGUAUGAAGAAGUUAUGAUUUUUCGAAGUUUCGGACUAGCAGUGUACAGCCCGAAAUUCGAAUAUUAGAUCGAGCGGUUUUUAGCCGACACGACCUAAACGAGAAUCGAAGAUCUCGUUAAGAGUAGCGUAACGAGAAAAAGAUGGGCGAAAACGGAUGUCGGAUGAAGAAGUUAUGAGGAUUUAACGGACCAAUCGUGUCCCGGCCCGUUAAUAAUAUAAAAUUUAAAAUCGAGCCAAAAUUAGCCGACGAAGUCUAAACGAAAGUUGUAGAGUACGUUCCCACCUUCGCGUGGAUAUAAAGAACGUCAAAAACGGAGGUCGUAUGCGAAAGUUACGAAUUUUUAAAGUUUGUACUCGAUUUUGCGAGAUCAGAUACGAAUUCGCUGACGUGGCGCUUUCCCAGCCGUCCGAUGAUGAUCGUUGAAGUCGCUUCAGAUGGCCGACACGUCGUCCUCGCAUACGCCCCGCAUCCGAGGUCAGUACGCCCCGCGUACCCUCUCCUUACCUCUUCCAAUGUUGCGAGCCAGCUGGUGUGAAGCUGGCACCCUUAUCCGAGACUACGCCCAGCGUAGCUGCUGGACGCGUCGCGUAGUCCGAGGCUGCUGGGGGCUAUAAAUAGCAUGCGAGCCAUUCCGAGUUUUUCACUCCAAGUCCACUUCUUUCUCUCACUAGUUUCUCUCUCUAGCUCAUCUAAACCCCCCAAAACACUAGAAAACCCCCUUAGCACCCUAGGGAAGCCCCGAGGCUCCCGGAGUCCCGAGAAAAAGGAGUUUUUCGGUUUCGAAACGCUGCUCCAAUUAAGUUCUGGUUUUCAAUAAUAUUCACUAUAAGUAUGCUACGCUUACGCAAUUUUUAAUAUAACUUUCAAAUAAUUAUAGGAAUGUUAUUAGGUCCUUAAAAUAAUUAAUUGGGCUAUUAUUAUGAGUUAUAUUGAGCGUUAUUAACGCUUAAUAAUAGUCAGACUAAUUAAUUUGUCGCGGUUAUCGUUAAACUAAACCCUAGUGGUAUCGGUACUAGGUUUUAUCGAAGGAAUAUCGUUUUGAGAGUAUCGAAGCGCUGUCCGAGUGCUGAGUCACCACCUACUCAGGUGAGUGCAUAGUCCCUUUCAUCUUACACAUAGAUAUGAAGUAUUUUAUAUAAACUACGUGCUAUGUGUGCAUAUUAUCUGAAUACUUGUUGUCUAUGCUGGAUGAACAUUUUAUACAUGUUUUAAAGGAUUUAAACUGUAUAACGUAUUUUAUAUAUACGAAUAUGUUGGGUAUGAUGAUGGGUAGAUGAAUGAUGAGAGAUAGAAGAUGACGUGAGUAUACAUUGGCAGCUAUAGACUUAGUGCCUAUGGGACAAACACCGGUAGCUAUGGACUUAGUACCUAUUAGAUAAAGACUGGUAGCUAUGGAUUUAGUACCCGAUGAAUAGACUAUAGCAGCUAUGGAAUUAGUGCUUUAUGAACGAACAUUGGCAGCUAUGGAUUUAGUGCCAGUCCUAUAACCCUGGAAGUAAGGGACUUCGGAAUAAACGAAUGCAGGAUAGACGACUCUUAGGUUAAAUCCUUAAGAGUAAAGAAGAUAACGGGGAUGGGUAAUUGGGUUGAUUGUUUGAUUGAACAUAAUAAUUAUAUUAUUGUGGGUUGAAAACCCUAUGUACUCACCAGGUUUCCCAACCUGACCCACUCAGUUUAUGUAUAUCACAG